CACGCCCUAAACGAUGAUUACUCGACAUUUGUGAUACACAAUAAGUGUCUGAGCGAAAGCAUUAAGUAAUCCACCUGGGAAGUACNUACGCGAGGAACCUUACCUGGGCUAGAAUGCAGGAUGACCGUGGGUGAAAGCUCAUUUUAUAGCAAUAUACAUCUUGUAAGGUGC
rnacentral:rRNA from 1 species